rnacentral:rRNA from 1 species
AUGGCACGGCCCGCUCGCUGGAGACGACGACGACGACGCGGGGAUGGAGGAUCCCGUUGGCGUGCGCGUGGGCGUGGGCCACCAGCUCGCGGCGGCCGAUCCGGUGGACGCGGAGCCGUCCCGGGCGGCCCUGUACGACCCCAAGACCAACUACACUUCGCCGCGGCCGCGGUUCCUCCACUACAAGCCCAACCCGCGCGUCGACAUCUACGGGCACAGCCGCGCUGGCGUCAGGCGCCUCGAGGACGGCUUCGCCUCCGCCUCCGCCUCCGCCUCCGAGAGCAGCGACGAAACCGACGCCACUGCCACCACGGAGGACGACCUCACGGAGGAGGAGCAAGAGCAAGCACAGCAGAAUCACCUGCCAGGGGAGCAGCCAGCUCUCGCCGCUCCAUCUGA